UUGCUCUUUCCGGGUGAAUAUCCCCGUCCCACUGAACCUUCCCUCCCACUCGGUCUCAGGCUGCCUUCCACACAGCUCCAGCUGUCAGGCUGCCCUGGACCCGCUCUGCACAGCCUCCCCACAUGCUCGCUGCCAGCCUAGACCAGAACUGGAUCUAGGAGGACGCUGCACCCUGACUUAAGAUCCUCUUAACAAAGGAGAAAUCAUGAGUGGUACUGGAAAUCUAGCUACUUACAGGUGCUGGUGAAGACUUGGAUCUUGGAGGAUAAGAAACAACCACCACUUUACUAAAGCACCACAAUCUGUCCUUAUACCCACAGUCUUCCUGCAGAAGGUGUGGCCCAGCCUCUCUAUCCUGAUCAAAGGUGUGUGUGUCCUUCGGCCUCAAGAUGUGGAUUAAUGGCACUUGUCUUCCUAUGUCCAAGUUCCAGACUAGAAGUGGAUUCAGUCCCUUCAAAACAAGCAAAAAUAAUUUCACAGAUGGUGUGUUCCCUCUGCCAGUGGGUUGGAGGCUUUCUCUGGACCCCCUCCUCAAGCUGCUGCCAAACUAGGUAGCUGCCUUGAAAUCCUGCUCAGGCUUCUAAUGUUCUACGAAGAAGCAGUCAGCCUCACAUCUUCACCAUCAUUGUCUCCAGAUUUGGUAAAAACAAUUGGGAAUUCUUAAAGGGGGGAAUUAGUUAAAAGAGAGUUUUUCCCACAUUAAAAAAUGGGAAAAACUAUUACAAUGGAGGGAGUUAGGUCUCGGUACAAUAUACUGGAGAGUUUGAAAUGGAACAAUUAAAUAAGAUGAUGAUUAAUUUAGAUGGGAUUUAUGUAAUGUCUAUUAUAAACAUUACUGGCUUUAUCAUUUUUGUUUUAUCACUAAAAAGUUGGUUAAUAUGAAUGCUAAGAUAAAAGUUUUAGAAAAACUUAUUAAAGCAGAUCAUAGAGAUAUUCAGAUCCAGACAGACAAAUUUAAAGGAGAACCAAUCUCAGCAUUGGAUUAUAAGGUUAGAGAGGAACAGCCUAAGGUUUUCAAACAACCAACUUUAGUUUAUCCAGUAACCUCACAGGAACUGCCAAAUUAUAGAUAUCUCCAAGGCUGUGUAAGAGCUGAAUGGACUCCUGUGGAAAUGUUAGAUUUGAGUGAAAGACCCUAACCCUUCAGGUUCACACCCUCCCCCCCCCAAGCCCCAGGAAAAUGAGGAACUAAAAGGGCAAACUGACUCAGCCAUUACCCAACCACCCCUGCCACAAUGUAACAAUGUAAAGAGAUUUCUAUUAAGAGAUGCGCUCAACUGUGACUGGGAUAAUUGCAAGUGUUCCAGGAAAGACCACUGUAACCUUUGUGUAACUCUCACUCCCACCCUGAUACCCCCCUUGAGGUCUCGGGAAGAAUGUGCAUGUAGACGUGACUGUACCUACCCUGUGAUCAGGCCAUGAUCUUGUGAAAUUAGCCUCUAGACAUAAAUCAAUUGAAACGAAAUUGUAUGGGAAUUGUAAUCUUGUGGCUUUUGUGGGUUUUUCCUUUAAAAGUACCUAUGUGGCUGCAGUAGGAUGCGACUCUUGCUCUCAGGACAGGAGUAGUCCGACUGUACAGCUGCUUCAAUAAACCUCUUGCUGUUUGCAUCAAUUGGACCAGAGUCUGGGUUCUUGGGGCGCCCACUCGAGAAGGUAGUACCCUGGGUCUGGGGUCUAUCAUGAGGAGAUUCAAAGAAAUGAUAGUCUCAUAUGGCAUGCAUUCACCCUUUGUGAAGCAGGUGUUAAACUCCUGGCCAUCUUGUAAUAGAACUAUCCCUCAAGACUGGAGAGACUUGGUUACAGCAGCCUUGGAGCCUGAUACUCAAUUACAGUGGAGGACCUGAUGGAAAGAUGAGACUAAGACCAUUGAACAAUGAAGUAGGUCUAGAGGUAUGGAAAUCUCCCAUGAACAACUUCUUGGAGAGGGAGGUUAUGCUAAUGUACAAAGUCAAUCCCUAUAUGAUGACCACACUCUGGCUUUAUGGCACACAGUGGCCUUGAAUGCUUGGGACAGAAUUGAAGAAGUAGGAAAGAUAACAGAAUCACUUACUAAAGUUAUGCAGGACCCAAAAGAAACCUUUACUGAUUUCUUACAAAGAUUGACUUCAGCAAGAAAUUCAGAAGCUAGACAAAUAAUAAUUGAAUUUCUGGCUUUUGAAAAUGCUAAUGCACAAUGCAAAAGGGUAAUUAGGCUAUUAAAGGCAAAAUCAUCACCCUUAGCAGAAUUGAUCCAAGAUACAGUCAAUAUUAAAUCUCAUAACCAUGAAGAUGUUUGAAUAGGAGAGAUUAUUUUUAGAGGUUUGAAGAAAAAUCAAGAUGUCAGGUGUUUCAAUUGCAUUAAAUGAGGUCAUUUAAAAAGAGACUGUAAAGCUAGGUGGUGAGGUGCACGCCUUUAAUCCCAGCACUUGGGAGGCAGAGCCAGGUGCUGUGGGAUGUUCUGUAUGGCAAAUGUGUUGCUGAUUAGUCAAUAAAUAAAACACUGAUUGGCCAUUGGCUAGGCAGGAAGUAUUGGCGGGACAAGGAGGAGAAUAAAGCUGGGAAGUGGAAGGCUGAGUCAGAGAGACACUGCCAGCUGCCACGAUGAGAAACAGCAUGUGAAGAUGCCAGUAAGCCACAAGCCAUGUGGCAAGGUAUAGAUUAAUGGAAAUGGAUUAAUUAAAGCUGUAAGAAAAGUUAGCAAGAAGCCUGCCAUGGCCAUACAGUUUGUAACCAAUAUAAGUCUCUGUGUUUACUUGGUUAGGUCUGAGUGGCUGUGGGACUGGCAGGUGAGAGAGAUUUGUCCUGACUGUGGGCCAGGCAGGAAAACUCUAGUUACAGCCAGGCAGAUCUUUGUGAGUUUGAGGCCAGCCUGGUCUACAGAGCAAGAUCCAGGGAAGGUGCAAAGCUACACAGAGAAACUCUGUCUUGAAAAACUGCCACACCAACUCCAGUGUUGUCCAUGUGACAUGAACAAUUAUGUCAAUAAUAGCAGAUGGGAUAUAUGUGUUCCAUGGGACUAAGCUCCCUGGAGGUCCCUGGCAGAGUGCCUGCAUUAUGCUUCCCUCUCGAAGAAGAUGUGCUUCACGGAUCAUGAGCUCCCUGGGCUAUAGGUUCUGUAUGACUGCUUUUCUGAUAAUGUUCUAAUUAAUCUAUGAAGCACAGCCAAAAUAAAUGAAUGCUUAGGUUGUGAACUAUGGAGGAGAGGGGAAGCUGGACAUGGAUCUUAAUUAAACAUAGCAGAAUGGGCUAUUUUUUUUAAAGACCCCAAGCCACUAGAUAAAGAAAGUAUAAUAGUUUAGGCACUUCUAGGGAAUGAACAGUCACCCACUAGGAAUCCUUUAGGAAUCCCAACUAAAGUGAGUUAUGGUAGAAAACGUUAUCUCAUAGGAAGCAGAUGGUGGGCCCCUUUGUUGAGGAAGUUCAGCAUGGCAAACUUAAGGACUACAGCAGAACCCCUUCCCCUUACAGGUGAAAAAGUACAAGAGUCCAUAUUCCAGCAUGUAAAAAGGUUUUAUAUUAAAAGAGAUAUGUGGUGGUGAACUAAAGAAAGACUUAGAGAGGGUCUGCAGCAUCCAAAUUGGCUAAGUGGGUCAUGAGAACCAGAAAAGCAGAAGUGAACAAUAAACUAGAAAACUACUAAGAUAAGAUAAAGGACACAGCUGCAACCUCAAAAAGUCUACACAAGUUUAGGGACUGUACUAAGUUUAAAAAACACAGACUGCUCUUUGGGUCAUAAAGUUCUUGUGGGUGUAAUGAUAUGUCUAGCAUCGAUUAAUAAUUGUGUGCUUGCUGUUUUUUAAAAGAUGAUGUACUUGAAUUAUUGCCAAGCUCUUGUUGUUCCUUGUAUGACUUGAUAGUUUUCUUUCUGUAUAUAAACUACUGAUUCGCAGAAGUAAAAUUGCAGCAGAUUCAAACCA